rnacentral:piRNA from 1 species
UUAUGUUCCAUCAAUUUGAGA